UGGCGACCGGCGCACGGGUGAGUAACGCGUAUGCAACCUGCCUGAUACCGGGGUAUAGCCCAUGGAAACGUGGAUUAACACCCCAUAGUACUUUUAUCCUGCAUGGGAUGUGAGUUAAAUGUUCAAGGUAUCGGAUGGGCAUGCGUCCUAUUAGUUAGUUGGCGGGGUAACAGCCCACCAAGACGAUGAUAGGUAGGGGUUCCGAGAGGAAGGUCCCCCACAUUGGAACUGAGACACGGUCCAA
rnacentral:rRNA from 1 species